rnacentral:rRNA from 1 species
GAUGAACGCUGGCGGCAUGCCUAAUACAUGCAAGUCGAACGAGAGGAAGGAAAGCUUGCUUUCCUGAAUCUAGUGGCGAACGGGUGAGUAACACGUAGGUAACCUGCCCAUGUGCCUGGGAUAACUUCUGGAAACGGAUGCUAAAACCGGAUAGGUAGCAGACAAGCAUUUGACUGCUAUUAAAGUGGCCUUGGCCAUGAACAUGGAUGGACCUGCGGUGCAUUAGCUGGUUGGUGAGGUAACGGCCCACCAAGGCGACGAUGCAUAGCCGGCCUGAGAGGGCGGACGGCCACAUUGGGACUGAGACAAGGCCCAAACUCCUACGGGAGGCAGCAGUAGGGAAUUUUCGUCAAUGGGGGGAACCCUGAACGAGGAAUGCCGCGUGAGUGAGGGAGGUCUUCGGAUCGUAAAGCUCUGUUGUAAGAGAAAAACGGCACCCAUAGGGAAUGAUGAGUGAGUGAUGGUAUCUUACCAGAAAGUCACGGAUAACUACGUGCCAGCCGCCGCUGUAA